CCUUCCAUAUAACACCAGUGAUGGAAUGAAAGUGAUCAUCCAAGUGGAAGCCCUCAUCUCUCCCGGCUGUGCUGAAGACGCUGACCUGAGCCUGCCAGAAACAACGGUCAACGAGCUGGACUGUGACGGGGCGCCAUUGCAAUGCAGCCCAGCCCAAGCACAGCCCAAGUGCCCCGACAGCAGCAGCUCCACGCAGGAUCAGGUCAGCGUCAGCGAGGAGGAGCCGAGCCUUGUGGAGGGGGACUUAGAAUCGGAGCUCCAGUCCCAGGCACCGGGCAGCAGCACGAGCUCUGAGCUCCUGCCUCCUUCACAAGAGAGGAUGA
ensembl:lncRNA